GGGGCUGUAGCUCAGCUGGGAGAGCGCGUCGUUCGCAAUGACGAGGUCAGGGGUUCGAUCCCCCUCAGCUCCA
rfam:Mesorhizobium sp. Root554 contig_1, whole genome shotgun sequence.